rnacentral:piRNA from 1 species
GUAGCGUCACGGGACACACAACCG